rnacentral:rRNA from 1 species
UACGUAGGCAGCGAGCGUUGUUCGGAAUUACUGGGCGUAAAGAGUGUGUAGGCGGUGCUCUAAGUUCGGUGUGAAAUCUCCUGGCUCAACUGGGAGGGUGCGCCGGAAACUGGAGUGCUUGAGCGUGGGAGAGGAAAGCGGAAUUCCGGGUGGAGUGGUGAAAUGCGUAGAGAUCCGGAGGAACACCAAAGGACGAAGGCAGUGUCCUGGGGAGUACCUGACGCUCAGGUGCGAAAGCCAGGGGAGCGAACGGG